rnacentral:rRNA from 1 species
CCUACGGGAGGCUGCAGUGGGGAAUAUUGGACAAUGGGGGCAACCCUGAUCCAGCCAUGCCGCGUGUGUGAAGAAGGCCCUCGGGUUGUAAAGCACUUUCAGUGAGGAAGAACGCCUGGUGGUUAAUACCCAUCAGGAAAGACAUCACUCACAGAAGAAGCACCGGCUAACUCCGUGCCAGCAGCCGCGGUAAUACGGAGGGUGCGAGCGUUAAUCGGAAUUACUGGGCGUAAAGCGCGCGUAGGUGGCUUGAUAAGCCGGUUGUGAAAGCCCCGGGCUCAACCUGGGAACGGCAUCCGGAACUGUCAAGCUAGAGUGCAGGAGAGGAAGGUAGAAUUCCCGGUGUAGCGGUGAAAUGCGUAGAGAUCGGGAGGAACACCAGUGGCGAAGGCGGCCUUCUGGACUGACACUGACACUGAGGUGCGAAAGCGUGGGUAGCAAACAGGAUUAGAUACCCUAGUAGUC